rnacentral:tRNA from 1 species
GGAGAGGUGGCCGAGUGGUUUAAGGCACACCCUUGCUAAGGGUGCGUAUGGGAAACCGUACCGUGGGUUCGAAUCCCACCCUCUCCGCCA